GAAGGAGGCGGCGGCGGCGGCCGGAGCUGGAGGGGGAGGAGGGGAGGAACCUGAUCCUCGGUAGCGAAGGGCUGGAGGCAAACACCGAGCUCCCCCUGAGUCGCUUGGGAGCAGGGAGGGUUCUGCUACCCUGAGGGGCCCUCCCCGCGGGGCAGAGGGUGGGAGGAACUCACGGCAUGUACUUCUGAAUGUAUGCUUGCCUUGAGGAACAACGACAGGACACAGGGAUGUGGACAUUUUCAAUCAGAUGGUUCUGUCCGACAGUGUCGGCACACAGAGAGCGUUCCACUGACUGACCUCUUUUUGUUUUCAAAUGAAGAGAAGCCAAGAAUAGGACGGCCUAGGAAGGUGAGCUGCGUAAAACUCGUCAGACUGAGCUCAUCCUCGUCUAUGGCCAAAAGUUGGUUUCUCGUUUCUAGAAGAUGAAAGAUGUGAUGAUUUAGGAAAAAGCCAUUCUCUCUGCUUACUGCUUGCUGUUUGAGAUGUGCGUCUUCACACAUUCCUACCGACGUAUCUGACCGAUGCUGCCAAGAUUACCUGAUGGGAUGGAUGCUAAUGCCUCUACAACCAGAAGCCCAAGGUAGCGUGUGAUUAUUCAAUCCAUACAUGCAACGUGCAUAUAUCAAGUCAGCAAGAUUGGCCUUUCUGUCUUAUUGGACAUCUGUCAUGCUUCUGUGUCUGGAGCCUGCAAAGGCCUCUCUUCUAGCUCUUUGUAAAUGUGGAGAAUGGCAGAAAUAUUCAGGAAACCUAAGCCCGACUCUUGAAAAAAAAAUUCAGAUGCUGGCAGAGCCCCAAAAUGGAUAUUGGGAAGCAUUUUGAGAACUACUGUUCACAGAGAGCACAGAGAGAAGCUUCCAGCACUUUGGAGGCAGAGGUUAUUGGGAUAGGAGCUCUAACCUGCCCAGGGGGUCAGACCUUGUCAAUCAAAGUCUCAACACAUCCUUGCUGUGGAUACUAAAUCCCACCCUGUUCUCCAAAAAGUGCAGCCAAGAGGUGGAGGGCUUCAUCCCUGACUAAGCCUCCGCUUAGGACACUCUCACGUCCAGAAGGUCAUAAGGGCACCUGGAUAAGACAUCGUGAGUGAACCUCUAUGGCUUCUCCAGUAUUGAAAGCCACAUCAGUUGCACACGUUUCUAAGAGGGUCCGCUGGUGCACGUGUUUAUGAAGAUGUCUCACAAUAUAAAGAGAUUUCAGUUCUUUGUGCCACCCACAUCCUUGAGUAUGUCUCCUGAGACACACGUGGGAGUCUGUCUGGGGUAUAAAUGAGGAUGGACGUUGCCCGAAAUGCAUAUGGGCUUUUGACUUCACCCGGUUGCUUUCGGGACUAUUGUGCACAGUCCGAGAGUUGUUUUUAGGAAACACUGCCACCAUUACCUCCGAGAGGCACAUCAGUGUCAGUGGUUGUUAUUUUCCAUCUACAGAUGGCCAAAUGGAGGCUCUCUUUUUCAUUUACCAAUUACUCUUCUUAAAGAAAUACGUGAGGAGGAGCGUUAUGGGUUCCCAAGGAAUGUGUGCCACUGAAGUAAGGACCCACCCAGAAUGUGGGCUAAGCCUCCCCUCUCAUGACCCUCAACUGAAAUCACAGCUUUUGCCAUGGAAUGCAGAGAUGAAUCCUGGGGCAGCAGCGAGUGUGAGAGGAGAAGGGAAGCAGAAUAAGACAAGGUGUUCUGCCAGAGGGAGCUUGAGUAUCCACGGAAAGACGGAAUGCCUGCACAAGUGGCUUCGCAGAACAGUAAUGUGCUACAGGAUGAAGCCAUGCCUCAAGAAGGUUCUUGGAUGCUGUAAGAAGGGACCGACGGGACUGGAGAGAUGGCCCAUGGUUAAGAACACUGGCUGUUGUUCCAGGGGAUCCAGGUUGAAUUCCCAGCACCUACAUGGCAGCUCACAACUGUCUGUCACUCCAAUUCCAGAGGAUACGGCCACCCUCACACAGACAUACAUUACGAUGGUCACGUGAGGAUCCAGACACACAAGGAGAACACCAUGUGAAGAUGGAUACUGAAUUGAAGUGCUGCCGUUGUGAGCCUUGGAAUGCCCCUGGCUGAAAAGGAAAUGUCUGAGCUACUGAAGGGAGAUAAAGUUGCAUGCUGGUUAAAUGGCUUCUAGCUGUGAGUGCAAACAUGGAAAUGUACUGAGCCAUUGCAAUGAGGAAGCUGCUUCUCGAACCUAAGAAGGCUGCAGCAGAGCUGCGGGCAAGUUCCUGAAGCAGCUGAGGUCAUUCACCCUUCUCGCUGGCUCAGGCCCGGCCUUCAGCAAGAUUAAGAUUUGGAUUUGGAAAACCUGAGUGACACAUCAAGACAAAAACAAUGUGAUAAGAAAUUUUCUUUCUCCUCUUGUUUUCCCUGUGUCUGGAGUUUCUUCAAGAACAUGAAAUGAGAGAGAAAACCAUAACUUAAAGGUAUUGAGAUAUGAGAACAUUUUGAGAAGGCACUUGGGUGGCGCUCUGUCUGUAACUGAACCUUGCCUGUGCUUGGCUGGCACUCCCUUUACAGCACGCAGAGUCUUGAGGUCCAAAGCCCCUCUUCCUGCAAAAUGGUUAUCCUGGUGGCAUUGCUCUAAAUAGAAGGACUUAGGUAGGGUAAACAGGAGGAUUGUGAGCAAGCCUUAAGGUUUCUGAUCACUAGAAAAGCAGAUCUUUUAAGAGGGUUUACCAGGAACCUCAGCCUUUAACCUUUCCUGCAAAGGUCAGCUACCACAGGCAUGGGCAUCUAGUUCCUGCUCAGUCCUGAUGGCCUGUAUCAGCUCAAGUCCCCACCCCGAUGACUGUCAUAUCUGCUUGGUUUCCCACCAUUUUGCUUUUCUCUCUACCUUGGCAGUUUGAGCCCCAGUGAAUCUUUCUUUCUGCCCAUAGACCAGUCUAGUUCAGUAAUUUCUCUGCCCCGAGUCUCAGGUAUUAAUCUGCGAGGACGGCCUCCAUCUGGGGACUUUUUUCUGUUCUCAGUGAAGUGGCACAUUCAGUUCCUGGUGCAGCGUCCGUUCGUUUCUUUUAGUCAUUUCACAGCUGUUUGCUGGGAGGAGCAAGACUGAACUACUUGGGGCUGAUUUCACAAGGAAGCUGAAAACAAGGCCUUCCCAGUUCCCGUUUGUGAUUUUCAAGUCAAUAAAGCAUGUCUGUCUUGGUGGAUGUUUCUCUCUAACUGGCUUCAGUUGUCUGCUGAGCUGUCUACCUGGCUUCCCCUUGGCUGGGAAACCUCGGUUUGUGGCCAUCCUGUUACAGGUGGAUGGCUGCCCGGCUGCCCACCGUUGUUUGUUAUUAAAUUGGUGAUGCAAUUUCUGUUUGGCAGUUUGUGACUGCAAGGUUAUUCAAGGAUGCUGUUUAGAAAUACAAGUGAGCUACAGAACGAGAUGUCGGAGCGGAUGGUCGGUUUGUUAUGUUUUUUUCUUUUUUUUUUUAAGGCUGUUCAGGGACAGUAGACGAAUGCACAAAUUUGUUAUUGUGGAUUGUUAUGAAUCCCAAAGACGCACAUACGGGGAUCAUUAUUGUAGAUUGGCUUGUGACAGCUGGCCCUGAUUUACUUAUUUCCUCAAGAAGACACUUUGAACAAUUAUUGAAAUGCCUCCCCUCUGUAAUUAUAAUAAUAAUGAUGAUGAUUUUGCAACUGAAUAUGCAAUUCAGGGCGUACACACUCAACUGUUUUUAGCUUGUUUCUCUUUUUACAUUGAUGUCAGCUGCUGUCUUGGCUUGUGAAGAGCUGAGAAGGACUUUCCAACCAAGGGUCAAUGAGCUACAUGAAGAGUCAUCUGUGGCCAACCCGGGAAAUUACUAAAAUAAUAAUUUUAGUAAUAUACAUUACAAUACAAUAAUAUUACAGUUAGUAUGUAAGGAGCAAGCUAACUAUGGGCAGGGUUCUUUUUUCUCCUUUUU
ensembl:lncRNA